rnacentral:rRNA from 1 species
AGUUCGCGAGGACANGCAAUCCCAUAAACCGUGGCUCAGUUCAGAUCGUAGGCUGCAACUCGCCUACGUGAAGGAGGAAUCGCUAGUAAUCGCAGGUCAGCAUACUGCGGUGAAUACGUUCCCGGGCCUUGUACACACCGCCCGUCACACCAUGGAAGUUGGCCACGCCCGAAGCCGUUACUCCAACCCUUGUGGAGGAGGACGUCGAAGGUGGGGCUGAUGACUGGGGUGAAGUCGUAACAAGGUAGCCGUACCGGAAGGUGCGGCUGGAUCACCUCCUAACA